CCCUUAGAUGUCCGGGGCUGCACGCGCGCUACACUGAAGGAAUCAGCGUGCUAAAACCAUUGUCGAAAGGCAUUGGUACACCCAUUAAAAUCCUACGUGAUUGGGAUCGGGAAUUGCAAUUAUUUCCCUUGAACGAGGAAUUCCCAGUAAGUGUGGGUCAUAAGCUCGCGUUGAUUACGUCCCUGCCCUUUGUACACACCGCCCGUCGCUGCCCGGGACUGAGCCGUUUCGAGAAAAGCGGGGACUGCUGCUGUCGGGGCUUUCGGGCCUUGGCUUCGGUGGAAACCGCUUUAAUCGCAGUGGCUUGAACCGGGCAAAAGUCGUAACA
rnacentral:rRNA from 1 species